rnacentral:rRNA from 1 species
UACGGAGGGGGCUAGCGUUGUUCGGAAUUACUGGGCGUAAAGCGCACGUAGGCGGCUUUGCAAGUCAGAGGUGAAAGCCCGGGGCUCAACCCCGGAAUAGCCUUUGAGACUGCAUCGCUUGAACAUCGGAGAGGUAAGUGGAAUUCCGAGUGUAGAGGUGAAAAUUCGUAGAUAUUCGGAAGAACACCAGUGGCGAAGGCGACUUACUGGACGAUUGUUGACGCUGAGGUGCGAAAGCGUGGGGAGCAAACAGG